UACGGGGGGGGCAAGCGUUGUUCGGAAUUACUGGGCGUAAAGGGCCAGUAAGCGGCCAACUAAGUCGGAUGUGAAAUCUCCAGGCUCAACCUGGGAACUGCAUCCGAUACUGGAUGGCUUGAAUUCGGGAGAGGGAUGCGGAAUUCCAGGUGUAGCGGUGAAAUGCGUAGAUAUCUGGAGGAACACCGGUGGCGAAGGCGGCGUUCUGGACUGCAACUGACACUGAAAAACGAAAGCCAGGGGAGCAAACGGGG
rnacentral:rRNA from 1 species